GAGGGUAUAGCUCGGUGGUAGAGUACAUGCUCAGCAUGCACAAGAUCCUGGGUUCAAUCCCCAGUACCUCUG
rnacentral:tRNA from 1 species